UAAAAAUUAAACCAAUGUGCCUGAGAUUGACGAAAACACACUCUGAGUAGUUAAGUGUGUGUUGAACAAGAUAAAAAAUGAAGUUACUACACACAAAUGGCACCCAGUUGGUGGAAUGGCCCUACUACAGACUCUGUGAUUCAUAAAAAGACAUUCAGACGUCCCCCGAGUGUUUUUUUUUUUUUCAAGGGUGGAAUAUUUCUCCUGGGUCAGAUUGCUUUGGUAGUGAUGAUCCUCGGCACCAUGCAGCCCUUUGCCCCUGAAUCUGUGGGACUCAUCACAGGAGCAGGGCAGUGAGGUUGAUGAGGUCUGGCCACCCACACAAGCCUCUUCGUUUUGUGGCCGAGCCGAGCCGGUGGAUGGUAAUUGCUCUGUGGGGCUGUUUUCUCUCUCCUGCCUGUGAUUUCUGAGUGGGUGCUAGGUGGGCCUGCUUGCCUGUGUUCAGUUCUUCUGUAGAGGUCUUUCAGAACAAGCUGAUUCAUCAACACCAAGUCAGCGUCAGACUACCUCCUGCCUCAGAUUCACGGACUGGAGUGAAGUCGGUUCAGCCAAAUCAUCUGAGUUUGCGGUGUUUCCAACACGGCCUCAUAACACAAGAGACGUACCGGUUUUUCUUCUUGAAGCACAAAAUUGUGUUCACUUUCCCAC